UACGUAGGGUGCGAGCGUUGUCCGGAAUUACUGGGCGUAAAGAGCUUGUAGGUGGUUUGUCGCGUUGUUCGUGAAAACCUGAGGCUUAACCUUGGGCGUGCGGGCGAUACGGGCAGACUGGAGUACUGCAGGGGAGACUGGAAUUCCUGGUGUAGCGGUGGAAUGCGCAGAUAUCAGGAGGAACACCGGUGGCGAAGGCGGGUCUCUGGGCAGUAACUGACGCUGAGGAGCGAAAGCGUGGGGAGCGAACAGG
rnacentral:rRNA from 1 species